CACUGUGCUUGACGUUGACGCCAUUUUUGCACGCCAGUAUACAUUCGUCCGUUGUGGGGCAUGUUGCUUGUUGUUUUCUUCAUAACUUUGUGUUCUUAUAAACAACGCGGUUUGUGUUUAGUUUGUGCGUUAAACUAAAGUUUUGUAGCGUGAUUUAUCCGUUUUAUAUGUGAAUUAUCUCAAAAUAGAUGUGAUUGUCAAGAUUUCACGAAACGAACAUUGUGCACACAUUGUGGACUUUAUCUUCGCCGGUUUUGAUGAUGUAGUAUCAUCAUUAGACUCUGGGCUUAACCAGCUCAAAGUGCUGUACUGGAAUAGUCACAGCACACAUCGAAAUAUCUAUCAACAUGUCUUCGAUUUACGGUUUUGCAUAACUGUGCUUCCUUUGAUUACCCUUUGCCUCGGUAAGUUGUUAAAUAUUAUUACAUCAUUAUCACAUUGAUGUCUUUAGUCGCGUGUAAGAGAGUACCGUAAUAGUCGUAAGUCAAAAUUGUCGCAUGCCGUCGGUUGCGUUUUCGAUCUUGCCUGAGAAUGUGGUUUUCACCGUUAUUCUCAGCUCUUAUUGUUCUUUUGCAUUCAAAAUACUGUAAUCGCAUUGACGCGUUUAAAAACGAUUUCAAUAUCUUACCGCAAAUCGUGUAUCAUGCCGUUGGUCAGCACUUUUCUAUGGUUGGCAUGGCAAAGAAAAUCUCAAUAUGCAAUAAAAUUCAUUAUGGUGUUUUAUUGUUAUAAAAAAAAUUUAUAUAUAUAUAUCAUUAUCCUACCUUCUCUACUUUUACUUUUCUUAGAUAUUUUCUCCCCUUUGGAAUGUAUUAGUAGUUGGUAGUUGUAUUUCUGUUCUGUUGCCUUCUUUUCACUUUCCUUUGAUAUUCGUUGGGAAAUUUGUAAAAUUUUGUAGUUGUUAAUUUUGUUGAUUAUUUUUUGCGAUUUUUUUUAAAUGCAUAGUCUCAUUUUCCUUUUUGCAACAUCCUGUAUAUAGGCUUUUCUUGAUCAACAAAAAUUUAUAAAAAUUGAUCUUUUUGUAUGUUUUGAUCAUGGGAUUUUAUAUUAAAUGUUUAAAUUUUCCUUAUGUAUCACCCUGUAUAUUUAUUUCCUGAUUUGCAGUCAGUACUUGACUACAUUUGUUUCUUCCAGUUGUUUUCUCCUUGAUCGUAGUAUUUUAUUUUUAAAUCUAGUAAUUUUCCUUUUGUGUCACCCUGUACUCGUUUUUCUUCAUUCUCAAUCUGUCACUGACCAAGUUUGUUGUCCGGGUGUUUUUUAUUUUGAACUUUAUAUUUUCUUUCUGUAUCACCCAGUAUAUCACUUUUCCUUAACAUCCUCGUUCAUAUGGGGAAAAUUUAUUGUUAUAGUGUAUUGCUCUUUUUUUAAUCAUUGGUUUUCUUUUUGUAACACCCUGUAGAUUAGUUUUCCUGUAUUUAAUUGCUAUUUCAUAAUCCUGUAGUAUGUUGGUGUUUAUAAUUUGGUACUUAUGUGCAUAUGUGAUAUGCAGGUCGUAAGACUUGUUUCAAGAUGGCGGCCUGAAAUUUGUAGGUAUUUUACAUUCUGUUAUUAAAUUUGUUAAUAAAGAAAUGUUAAAAGAG